UACGUAGGCAGCGAGCGUUGUUCGGAGUUACUGGGCGUAAAGAGUGCGUAGGUGGCUCUCUAAGUUUGGUGUGAAAUCUCCCGGCUCAACUGGGAGGGUGCGCCGAAAACUGGAGGACUAGAGUGUGGGAGAGGAAAGCGGAAUUCCUGGUGUAGCGGUGAAAUGCGUAGAUAUCAGGAGGAACACCUGCGGUGUAGACGGCUUUCUGGACCACUACUGACACUGAGGCACGAAAGCGUGGGGAGCAAACAGG
rnacentral:rRNA from 2 species